GAAGUACUGUUGAGGUGAGAAUGAGAUUAAGAGAAAAAAAUAAGAAAUAGUGAGAUUCCAGAGACUAAUAACUGCUUGAAGCUGCUACAGGCACAAGGGGAGGAGGUAGCAUUCCUGGAGUCAACUGACAAUGAACACAGAAAGGGAACUAAUGGCUGGACUUUAGAAAUAGGUAGGCCUGCACUUUUUUCCCUGCUAAGAAAGGGAAUACUUAGCAGCUGUGUUGAAGAAAACACAAUGAAACAAAGAUUAACAACGAAACAGCUGAAUAAUUUAAGUCACCAAGUGGCUCCUCCUGGAAGCAGGGCAAUCUGUGAUUAUGAUGUUUGUCAUCCCAGGUGAUUUGGCUGAUUUGCCUAGCCAGCUCUUCUGGCAGGUGUGAAGUGGUAUCUCACUGUGGCUAAUAGGCAUUAUUUCUCUGGUGAUUAUGGAUGUCAUGCACAUUUUCAUAAAUUUAACGGCCAUCUAGAUAUCCCUUUCUGUGAAGGACCUGC